UGCAAUAUCAUUUGUGAAUCGUUCUCAGGGCUGCAGAUACAUAUUGCUAACACAUGCAGGUAGACCGACUGCGGCUCCCGCCCUCCAUACAGCCUCCGGACAGCCAGCAACCGGCAUACAGCAUCGGGCGAUUACCGCAAUACAUGCCUGGGAUCCUACAAAGAGAAAGUGUGGGGGGGCCACUGACAUCACACAUCACAUCCCUCCGCUGUCCCGGGAACUGACACACACACACCGGGGACCGGAGGAGAUCACCACCGACCCCAGGACCGGAGGAGAUCACCAGGACCGGAGGAGAUCACCAGGACCGGAGGAGAUCACCAGGACCGGAGGAGAUCAGCGCCAAACUAGGACUGACUGGUGAUCAGGACUGGGGGUACUGCUGAUCAGCACCAUAAACUGGACUACUGGAGGGGAGAUCAGCAUCAGGAGGACCACUGCUGAUCAGAACCAGACCAGGACUGACUGCUGAUCAGAACCAGACCAGGACUGACUGCUGAUCAGCCAGCAUCAUAAACCGAACUGGGGGGAGAUCAGCACCAGGAGGACCACUGCUGAUCAGAACCAAGGCAGGAGAACUGCUGAUCAGGACUGGGGGAAAUCAGCACCAAGAGGGGAGAUGAGCAUUGCACUGCUAGAGGAGUACAGGACCACAUCAGCCUGAGAGAGGAGAACAAGGGAUACACAUUAUCUUCAAUAUUCUAUAUUUCCAUAGAGGAGUACAAGGGACACACAUUACCGGAUCACAUCAGCACUCAUCUCCAAUAUUCUAUCCCAGCCAUAAAGGAGUACAGCUGCUGAUCAAGCACCCAUAGAGGAGUACAAGGGACACUCAGCACUCAUCUCCAAUAUUCCAUCCUAUAGAGGAGUACAAGGGACACUCGUCUCCAAAAUGCUAUCCUAGAAAGGAAUACAAGAGCUCAGCACCCAUUGAGGACACAAUAUACUCAUCUCCAAUAUCCUAUAUAUCCUGCAGAGGAGAUCAGCACCCAUAAAGGAGUACAAGGGACACGCAGUGUUCUCAGCACUCAUCAUAGAGGAGUAGAGGAACUCACCACCUAUAAAGGAGUACAAGGGACACUAUAGUCAUCUUCACUAUCCUAUAGAGGAGGAGUAGUAGGAGAAGAUCAGCACCCAGUAAAGGUCCCUGCACCCUGCCCCGGAGCCCCGCAGGGGAGGGGGGGGUCAGGUCAUAAGCUGAGUCCCGGAGCUCAGGGAUCAUCUCAUUGACAGAGGAGUAAUCGGAGAGCUAUGAGCGGGUAACUUUACCCCGGGACAACACACACCGCUCCCGCCCCUCUAGAGGCUCCGCUCUCCCCCAGCACACAGCUCCGCGGCUCGGCUCCGCAGCCAUGAGGACCUUAUGGGGUUGCUGCGCGUUCCUGCUGCGGCUGUCGCUGACUCUGGCCGCCUCCAACAAGCUGCUGAAGUACCGGAUCGCCGAGGAAGGGCAGCCCGACAUCAGGAUCGGUAACGUGGGUUCGGAUAUCAGCAUAGUGGCCGGUUCCGGCGAGGUGACCUUCAGCCUGGAGUCCGGUUCCGACUUCUUCAAGAUAGACAACAUGACCGGAGAGCUGAGCACCAACGAGCGCCGCAUAGACCGGGAGAAGCUGCCGCAGUGUCAGAUGAUCUUCGAUGAGAACGAAUGCUUCAUUGACUUCGAGGUGUCGGUGAUCGGUCCUUCGCAGAGCUGGGUGGAGCUGUUCGAAGGCAGGGUGGUCAUCCUGGACAUUAACGACAACACCCCGACCUUCCCGUCCCCGGUGCUCACCCUGACCGUGGAGGAGAACCGGCCGGUGGGGACCCUCUACCUGCUGCCCACCGCCACAGACCGCGACUUCGGCCGUAACGGCAUCGAACGCUACGAGCUGAUCCCGGACGCCGGGGAGAGCCUGUUCGUGUCCGGGCGCCGGGGCGGCGGGGAGAGCGUCCUCUACCCGGGCAAGAGACGGAUGGAGACGGACGGCAGGAGCAGCGUGUUCGAGCUGCAGGUAGCCGACACCUCCGACGGGGAGAAGCAGCCGCAGCUCAUCGUUAAGGGGGCUCUGGACCGGGAACAGCGGGACUCGUAUGAACUGACCCUCCGGGUCCGGGACGGCGGGGAACAACCCCGCUCCUCACAGUCCAUCCUCCGGGUCCUCAUCACCGAUGUCAAUGAUAACAGCCCCCGAUUCGAGAAGAGCGUGUACGAGGCGGACCUGACGGAGAACAGCGCCCCGGGGACCCCCAUCCUGCAGCUCAAGGCCACCGAUUACGAUGUCGGGGUGAACGGGCAGAUCGAGUAUGUGUUCGGCGCGGCCACCGAGGCGGUGAGGCGGCAGCUCCGAUUGGACGAGAACUCGGGCUGGCUGAGCGUCAUGCAUAAGAUAGACCGCGAGGAGGUCAAUCAGCUCCGCUUCACCGUCAUGGCCCGGGACCGCGGCCAGCCCCCGAAGACCGACAAAGCCACAGUCAUCCUCAAUAUCAAGGAUGAGAACGAUAAUGUGCCGCUGAUUGACAUCAGGAAGAUCGGCCGCAUCCCGGUGAAGGAUGGCAUGGCCAGUGUGACCGAGGAUGUCUUGGUGGACACCCCUAUCGCCCUGGUGCAGGUGUCUGAUAGGGACCAGGGCGAGAAUGGAGUGGUCACCUGCACCGUGGUUGGGGAUGUCCCCUUCCAACUCAAACCGGCCAGUGACAGCGAGGGGGAUCAAAAUAAGAAGAAGUAUUUCCUGCACACCUCAGCCCCCCUGGACUAUGAGAACGUCAAGGAGUACAAUGUCAUCAUAGUGGCUGUGGACUCUGGUAGCCCCAGCUUGUCCAGCAACAACUCCUUACUGGUAAAGGUGGUGGACACCAAUGACAACCCCCCAGUCUUCAGCCAGCCAGUGGUCGAGGUGGCCUUCCCAGAGAACAACGUCCCUGGCGAAAGGGUGGCCACGGUUAUAGCCACCGACGCCGACAGUGGCAAGAACGCUGAAAUCGCCUACUCCCUGGAGCAGUCGGUGGCUGGGGUUUUCUCCAUCCACCCCGACUCCGGGGACAUCACCGCCAACAUAGUCCUGGACCGAGAGGACAACGACCGAUACGAGUUUAAAGUAGUGGCCAAGGAUAAGGGUCUGCCCACCACCAUGCAAGGCACCGCCACCGUGGUGGUCCAAGUGGCCGACACCAAUGACAAUGACCCCAAGUUCAUGCAGGAGGUCUUUAACUUCUAUGUCAAGGAGAACCUUCAACCCAACAGCCCUGUGGGGAUGGUGACAGUGAUGGACGCAGACAAAGGUCGCAAUGCAGAGAUGAGUUUGUUCAUAGAGGAGGACAAUGGCAUCUUCAAAAUAGAGAACAACACUGGCACCAUCUGCUCCACCGUCUCCUUUGACAUGGAGCAACAAACUUCUUACACUUUCAAAGUCAAAGCUGUGGAUGGUGGGGACCCCCCAAGGUCUGCUACAGCCACAGUUUCCCUCUUUGUCAUGGAUGAGAAUGACAAUGCCCCCAUCAUCACCAGCCCCAUCAACAGCUCCUAUACUGUGGUUCCCCCUUCCAGUGGUGUCAGGACAGUGGUGGCCACAGUUGUGGCCAUGGACACUGACUCUGGAGUCAAUAAAGAACUCAACUUUAGCAUUGUUGGAGGAAACCCCUUUAAGCUCUUUGAAAUUAACCCGGCCAGUGGGGUGGUUUCUCUCAUUGGGAAGCUGGCCUCCAAGCACUAUGGCCUUCACCGCUUGGUCAUCCAAGUCAAUGACAGCGGUCAACCUCCACAGUCCACCACAGCCCUUGUCCAUGUGUUCAUCAAUGAGACUGUCUUCAAUGCUUCAGUGGUGGAUUCCCAAAUUGCCAGAAGUUUGCAUACCCCCUUAACCCAGGACAUAGCAGGGGACCCCAGCUAUGAAAUGAGCAAGCAAAGACUGAGCAUAGUGAUUGGUGUGGUGGCUGGCAUCAUGACUGUCAUCCUGAUCAUCCUGGUGGUGGUCAUGGCACGCUACUGUAGGGCCAAAAGUAACAAUGGCUAUGAAGCUGGCAAAAAAGAUCACGAGGACUUCUUCACACCUCAGCAGCAUGACAAAUCCAAAAAACCCAAAAAGGAUAAGAAAAAUAAAAAGUCCAAACAGCCCUUGUAUAGCAGCAUAGUGACAGUGGAGGCAUCAAAGCCAAACGGGCAGAGAUAUGACAGUGUGAAUGAAAAGCUGUCUGACAGCCCCAGCAUGGGAAGAUACAGAACUGUGAAUGGAGGUCCCGCAAGUCCUGACCUAGCAAGGCAUUACAAAUCUAGUUCCCCGCUACCUACUGUGCAGCUUCAUCCCCAGUCACCUACCGCUGGGAAAAAGCACCAGGCUGUGCAAGAUUUACCACCAGCCAACACUUUUGUAGGAGCUGGAGACAACAUCUCAAUUGGAUCAGAUCACUGUUCUGAGUACAGUUGUCAGACCAAUAACAAGUACAGCAAACAGUCACAUUUUAUGUUUUGAUUUCUUCAUACGGGCCAUUUCACCUGGAUCAAGUGCAAAAGUUGAUUUGGUCUUUCAGCAAUACAUCUUCCCUGGUAUUCUAUCCUGCAAGUUGAUUGACUUCAGAUUCCCCUACAGUGCCAGUACUCAUGUAGGGAUAAUAGCGGCAAUUUAUACCACUUGAUGAGCAAUUUGGUGCUCUUGUCAACUUUUUACUGGUCACUGCACACUCCUCCUGUGAACCUCAGCUGCGAUCUUGAAAAAUAUCUUUCUUAAAGAGCUAGAGAAUGUGAUUGUUGGACUGUUUUGCAUUCAGAGUCACUCUAAUAAGCGUGUGUAGAUUGACUCUGCUGCCUAAAUUAUGAAAGAAGCUUCAACUGACGUGCAUCGGAAACACUGGAGACUGAAAACCAUUUAUAUAUACAUUUUAAAGAACUAUUAACUGCUUUUAAAGUAUUAUGUUUUUACUUGCCUUAUUACAAAAAACAAAAAAAAUAACAAACAAAAAACAAAAAAAUGAAUUUCACAAAGCAAGACUGUGGAAUACCAAUGGAAUCCAGCGUUUGGUUAAAGUUUGCAUUCAAAAAGGUACGCUGUAUGUAUAAAUGGUUCUAUUGAACGUUCAAUCAAGUUUUUUUUCUUGAAUGCCUAUGAUCUCUUGUGAUUUCUGAAAAUGUACAAUGUUACAAUGAUUUGUUUAAAUGUUAUGUAAUUUUCUUGCAAUUGUUGGAUAAACAAGGAGACUAUGACGACCUUAAGAAGGACAUUUUUAUUUUCUUAUAAAAUAAACCAAUAAAAUAUAUUUAUUAUAUAAAGAUAAUAUUUAUUAUAGAUAUUAAAAAAGUAAAAAAAAAUAAAACUUUCAGAGCUUUAAGUUAAAGCUUGAAAUUAAUGGUGUUGAUGAAAUAAUAAAAAUUGCAUGUCUACACAACAAACACGGAAGCAUUUUUAACAUAUAGACAACUUGCCUGGCUAAAUUUUAAACGUGAAUGCACUAUCAAUAGAUACAUAAUGUAUAUUUAGAUUUUCUAUAUAUACCACAUAAAGUCAUUUUUUAAGCAUAAAAGGUGGAAGUGGAUUUGGUCAGCUUAGACACUUAACCAAUAUGGCUGCCUGUGUUUUACCAACCUCUCUUUAACUUUGCCUACCAAGUGAUAUUGGUACACCUUUCCAAAUGAAGGUGUACAUGCUCGAGUUUUUAUAACUGCACUGAAAUAGUGGUUGGCAUCUUGUAUCAACAGAUUAUUUUAUCUAACCAUGAUAAAGCCACAAUAAUAUUUUAAGGCUUGUUAGAAAUACGUAUGGGAGCCAUAAUUCUUAACCUACAGGUUUUUGUCUCUUUCUCUCUCAUUUAAUGAACAAGAAGACCAGAUAUAUACAUGAAUUCUAUUCUUUUAUUGGAAUGUAUAACAACAGAAUAUAGCAGAUUGCUUUUCAUGUUCCUGGGCUAUUCCUUAAAGCAACUUAAACUAUAAAGAGCUACAUAUAACAUUUUCACCCACACACAUAUGUAAUAGAUUUGUCCUCAGCUUGAAAUUCUUUUGAAAUACUUGACACUGUAGUUCUUCGGUCCACUCUGUUUUUCUCCUAAGGUCCUUUUCUGGUUAGAUAGCCCCUUAGACUGAGACUCCAUCUUAGUUUUUCUUUUUGAUAAAACUCUGUAGUAAUUACAUAUGUGGAUGCAAUUUCAUGUUCUUUUAUAUAUAAAAUGUUUUUUUUUUCUGUCCACUGAUCCAAUAGAAUGUUAUAGUUAGUCCUGCUUUGCAAGUGCAGGUUUUCACCAUGUGACUUUUACAUUCAAGGGUGUUUGAUAACUAUGUGCCUCAUAUAAUUAGAACCCCAGUAGUUGGUAUUAGAGAUAAUUAGACCUUUCAGUAAAAUAGUUCUAAGAGAAAAGUGCGAAAUGGAAGUGUAACCUUUAUUGAAGCCAAUCAAAAAUUAUUUUGUCAAUAAGGUGAAUUCUGAUUGGUUCUAAUGAUUAUGGUGCUUCUUACUUUCAUCCAUGCACUGUUUUCUAAUUAAGGUCUGUAAAAGUUAGUUUUAGAGGUCUGUUCACUGAAGUCCAAAAUGCACUUGAUUAUCAUAUUUAGCAAAACAAAAUAUAUGCAACAUACGUUAUUGCUAGAAUUUUUGUUGAGGGUCCACAGAAAUGAUGUCACUGCCUUACAUUCUCUGCUUAAAGGGGUUUUACCUAAAAGUUUUCUACCCUAGUGAACUUGCCAUCUUGGGGCUUUGUAUGAACCCCUUCUGGAAGCAGUUGCCAAGAGCAGGUCUUUUUGGUAACCGUUUCGUCAGUAGACUAGAAACCUGAAAAAAGGCUUUUGACAUACCUAAGUGCUGAGGGGGAGGCAAGAUCCCUGGUUGUAUCAUUAUGUACAGCUCCCUUCCCUACCUCCCCCUCAAGUAUAAUCUUUAUAGAAGAACUUUUAGGAGGAACCCCCCCUUUAAUAAUCUAUUAGUUAAGACUUUGAAUUAUAUUCAUUAAACUAUUUUUGAAAGUAUAUUUUGUUAUUUUUAUACUGGCAGUGAGAUGUAAAAUAGAGCAGCGGGUUAGGCAAAUAAUUUGAUAUCCUCUAAAAUCAUAGUAAAAUACCAAAAAUGACACACUUCCCAGUUCUUUGCUAUAUCUGAGGAAGCGGUAAUCAUUUUAGAAUUGCAUAGUAUUUUACUUCCCUACCUAAAAGUAUAAUCAUAGUUGCAUAGCUUUGGGUAUGAUAAAUUAAUUUUUUUCCUUUUUGUGAGUUCUGAUUCACAGGAAGAUGAAUAAAAUUACGGGUUGAGCAUUUUUAAUAUGGGUAGACUGUUUACAUGCUUAGUUUAGAAUCACAGACAAAAUUUAGCUUGAAAGAAAGAGGCAUAUUGCAGGGUUUUAAAAAGAUUUUCUUGAGCCAUAAUGAAGUUGUUUGUAUGUAUGCAAGAACGUAUUCAAAUCGGGUCUUUUAGUGGAUUGUGACAGCAGGAUGUGUGAUUAUACAGAAUUUGAAAUUUAAAUUGAUUUUCAUCCUUUAUGUGAUCUGAAAUAAUAUUUAGGAAAUGCCUAUCAGUUAUUCCACUAGAAAUAAAUGAAUACUGUGUCUAAUUAGGUCCAGCAGAUGACCCGCGUUUGCUUCAAACAGUCAAUCAGGUUAAUGAGUAUUAAAAAAAUAAAUCAAAGAUUUCCUCUUAACUUUACUGGCCGUCUGAAGCAAUUUUUUUUUUUUGCUGUGACUAAAUGAUAUAGUAUUGUCACUAUUGCCUAAUACAUGGCGGAACACAUCCAAGGAACCAUAUAACCAAUGCACUUUAACAGUUAGGGCUGGUAUUUAAUAUGAACUGCAAACCAUCUAGCCUAUCACCAUACAUUAAAAGAUGGCAUCUAGAGGUUCCUAUAUGAACAGUCAUGUAUGUUGUAGAGUGCCCCAGGAACCGCAAAACACAUAACUCAUUAGUAUGCAAAUGUCAGCUUCAGGUCCCCCAUGCCUUACUAUUGGUUGUUGAGAUGACCCUUGAUAGGUAUAGGCCAACAGUGAAUUAUGGGAGGCAUCAGAUAAUAAGACUCUUGUUAAGAGGAGCUGGUUAAGACUUAUGGCGGCCAUACAUGGAGCAAAUUUCUUUCCUGCAACCACGGGUUGCAGAAAAUAAAUUUUCUUGAUUCCACCAUCAACACAGACAGUGUUGAUGUGAGAAUUCCUUCAGCCAGGCCAUUGUCUUCUCCCGGAAAGGGAGCAGGGAAGCGGACAAGAUUUGAACUGUGUAUGGCCAGCCUUACAUAAAUGAGUUUCUAGGGUUUAGGUCCUUCUGGGGCCCUCUAUAAAAUAUGUGCACUGCUUAGACAGGCUCUGCUAAGUGUCUGCUUUUUAUGUCUACUAAUGUUUGGAAGGCUAGUUGACUUUAACCUUAAUAUAGUCAAUUGAAUCGAUUAUGCCAUGCCUUUUAAUGUUUUUUUUUUUUUUUUAAUGUACCGACUGGUUCCUGGAUUCUUUCAUGUGUGCACCCUUAGCCAUGUAUAUUGGCAGGCCAAGUUCUGUAAUAGUCUGAGGAUACAAUAACAUGAAUAAUAAUUGAUCAGAGCCCCGUAAAGCUGAUUCUACAAUGUACAUUAAAACCAGUAAACAUAUUGAAUAUGGUCCCUUCGUGGCUUUUUUCCACAAGAGAAAUAUACAUUUUAUUCAUAGUGUCCCUUUAGACGGUGUUGAGUGAAAAAGAGACAACUAGCUGCAUAUGUGAGAUAAAUCAUGUACCAAAUGGCCAUUCUCUGAUAUACCAAAAUGUUAUAGUCAAAACUCGAAUUGUUUUUUUUAGCCAGCUCAGUGAAGCAGUUAGGAGUAACGCCUAUUUUUUUAUUUUUAUUUUUUCUCCUGAUUGGGUGUGGGAAGAGUUGUUGAAAGUAAAAUCUUAGAGACUUUUACUUAAUAUGCCUUUAAAGGUAAUUCUAGACUAAAACAAAACAGAAAUGUAAAAGCAAAAAUAUCUGCAGAACAAGGAAGUCAUAAUUAUUGUUUUUGCAAUGUUAUUUUCAUGUGUACUGCAAUAGGCUAUAACUGGUAGCUCUCACAGGAGGUGAUUCAUUAAGCUUUGUUACCUGGUAAUGUUUCCUUUUGGGUCAUAACAAAAGGUAGAGAAGGGAAUUAGACCAUUGUUUUAUGUAAAAGAUUUAUAUUAAUAAUCCCUACAGCAUCAAAGAGCUCCAUUGUGAGUCAUGUCACCUUUUUUUGGUAGGCAGAAAAAAUAAAUCAUGAGCCAAUAGGAUGAGCAACCUUUGGCUUUGACUGAUUGCUGUAUUGCAGGACAAUUAUUUACUUAUUCCAAGUCAGAAUAGCACAUAAAUUAACAUCUUGUAACUUCAGUUCCCUUGAAUGCUUUUAAAGGUGUUUUUUUUUGUUUGUUUUUUUUCUAUUUUUUUUUUAUAAUGUUUUAAAGGACACAUGUUUAGCCUUUAACUUUUUUUGUAAAUUGACUUAUCAAGUAUUUAUGAAGCAACAUUCAAAACUUUUUAUUGUUACUGAAAAAACAAACUGCUGUAAUUGCAAAUGCUGUGCACAUUUGAUGAAUAAAGUGACUUUUUUUUAAUGAAA